AGAGUUUGAUCCUGGCUCAGGAUGAACGCUAGCUACAGGCUUAACACAUGCAAGUCGAGGGGCAGCAUGGUCUUAGCUUGCUAAGGCCGAUGGCGACCGGCGCACGGGUGAGUAACACGUAUCCAACCUGCCGUCUACUCUUGGACAGCCUUCUGAAAGGAAGAUUAAUACAAGAUGGCAUCAUGAGUCCGCAUGUUCACAUGAUUAAAGGUAUUCCGGUAGACGAUGGGGAUGCGUUCCAUUAGAUAGUAGGCGGGGUAACGGCCCACCUAGUCUUCGAUGGAUAGGGGUUCUGAGAGGAAGGUCCCCCACAUUGGAACUGAGACACGGUCCAAACUCCUACGGGAGGCAGCAGUGAGGAAUAUUGGUCAAUGGGCGAGAGCCUGAACCAGCCAAGUAGCGUGAAGGAUGACUGCCCUAUGGGUUGUAAACUUCUUUUAUAAAGGAAUAAAGUCGGGUAUGGAUACCCGUUUGCAUGUACUUUAUGAAUAAGGAUCGGCUAACUCCGUGCCAGCAGCCGCGGUAAUACGGAGGAUCCGAGCGUUAUCCGGAUUUAUUGGGUUUAAAGGGAGCGUAGAUGGAUGUUUAAGUCAGUUGUGAAAGUUUGCGGCUCAACCGUAAAAUUGCAGUUGAUACUGGAUAUCUUGAGUGCAGUUGAGGCAGGCGGAAUUCGUGGUGUAGCGGUGAAAUGCUUAGAUAUCACGAAGAACUCCGAUUGCGAAGGCAGCCUGCUAAGCUGCAACUGACAUUGAGGCUCGAAAGUGUGGGUAUCAAACAGGAUUAGAUACCCUGGUAGUCCACACGGUAAACGAUGAAUACUCGCUGUUUGCGAUAUACUGCAAGCGGCCAAGCGAAAGCGUUAAGUAUUCCACCUGGGGAGUACGCCGGCAACGGUGAAACUCAAAGGAAUUGACGGGGGCCCGCACAAGCGGAGGAACAUGUGGUUUAAUUCGAUGAUACGCGAGGAACCUUACCCGGGCUUAAAUUGCAGAUGAAUUACGGUGAAAGCCGUAAGCCGCAAGGCAUCUGUGAAGGUGCUGCAUGGUUGUCGUCAGCUCGUGCCGUGAGGUGUCGGCUUAA
rnacentral:rRNA from 1 species